GGGCGGUUAGUUCAGAGGGAGAACGCUUCCCUGACACGGAAGAGGUCAGAGGUUCAAUUCCUCUACCGCCCACCA
rnacentral:tRNA from 1 species